CCUACGGGCGGCAGCAGUGGGGGAUCUUGCACAAUGGGGGAAACCCUGAUGCAGCGACGCCGCGUGUGGGAAGACGGUCUUCUGGAUUGUAAACCACUGUCUCCAGGGACGAAAAUGAUGGUACCUGGGGAGGAAGCUCCGGCUAACUACGUGCCAGCAGCCGCGGUAAUACGUAGGGAGCAAGCGUUGUCCGGAAUUACUGGGUGUAAAGGGAGCGUAGGCGGGGAUGCAAGUUGGGUGGCAAAACUACCGGCUCAACCGAUAGUCGCACUCAAAACUGCAGCUCUUGAGUGAAGUAGAGGCAGGCGGAAUUCCUAGUGUAGCGGUGAAAUGCGUAGAUAUUAGGAGGAACACCAGUGGCGAAGGCGGCCUGCUGGGCUUUUACUGACGCUGAGGCUCGAAAGUGUGGGGAGCAAACAGGAUUAGAUACCCGAGUAGUC
rnacentral:rRNA from 1 species